CCCUCAAGUGUAGUCUGGGUACUUGUUGGUGGAUUGAGAGUGUCUGUUUUUCUUAGUGCCUGAGCCUGGGGAACUGAGUUCACUCCUCCUCUAUCUCAACUCUGCCUCCUGCCUAAUGAUCCUGAAAUUCACGCUGCUCUUUCUUGUCUAUUAUGCUGUGAUAAGGCUCGCCAGAUCUGAGGCUUCUCCGAGGAAGAGGAGGCACAGAGAGAAAAAGAAGAAACCAAAAGGUAAGCAGCCCCUGACCCCACAGCUGCGGUGGCAGACUCAGGCCCCAGGCAAAGCAGAGAAAUAGGGUCUAUUCCCCCACCUACCUCCCCUCUUCCUGCGAUGGCAAAGUCAUGCCCAGAGUCAUGCAGAGGCACUGGCUGGGGCUCCCAAGCAGCUCAAUGUCUCCUUUAUGUCUCACUUCUGACAGCUUUUGGACGCUGUGAGGAAGAGUUGGAGGAGGCUUGUGCAUCCCUAGAGACAUGCUGCCCUGUGCCCCUGGAGAAGCUCCCCUUGGUUCAGAGCCUCAGGCUCCUUGAGAGGAGGCUACAGUACGUGGCCAGACACCUGGAUGAAGUUCUGAUACCGCCGAGUGUGUCGACAUCUGCGAUGAGCCAGUUCUUCUAUUCCUCUAUGGAAUCCACCACCUCUUCCCUCUGGAGUCCCAGCUCCUUUUCCCUGAGAAAAGCCUCCGUGACUUGGGCAGAGCCCCUCUGCCACACAAGGGAGAUCAUGCCUGUCGCGAGCUGGGAAGGAUCCACUCAUCCCAUCCAAGCCCAGCCUCUCCCCAGGCCUCCUGCCCACAGCAGACGAGACCGGCGAGAGCAGACCAUAGGACUGGACCGGACAUCAGCCCAGGGCUCAGAUUUCAAUAUCCAACAGAAGCAUCUGGAGAGCCAACUGGGGGCUCCACAAACCCCCAUCCCGGGGGAGUCAUUGCUGAGUGAGUGGGACACCAAGCAGCAAUUGGAAUUAGACACAGAUCCGCCCAAUGUGGAUUUCCAGCAAAGGUCCCAAAGCCCCUGAGAUGCAACACCAGCCCUCAGCGUGCACAGGAGAUCCAGGAGCCAUGUGUCUGCCCCUCAGGAUCCCUGCCCCAAAAGGCCCACAGGAUCAUGGCAUCCCCUGAUGCCAUCCUGGCCAGGGUUGUGCCCAUGGCGGUGGUCAAGCUGCAGAAUCACGUGGCUCAGAAAUGCUCAGAGAUCCAAAUGAAGGCGUUUCCUAAGAUGGUGCGAGAGUCGCACAGAGAUGCUCCCCUCCUGAGAGAGACUGCCCUGCCUGGGCCACUCCGCCCCCCUAGGGAGCCAGGCAAGCACAGGACAGUGGCAUUCUCAACGAUGGGACAACAGCCUGCCCACCCCAUCGAACUCUACAUAAGGCGUCAUCAUCUCGUCAUGCAGAGGGGGCUGCUCACCCUGGACCCAGAGCCCUCGGCAAAGCUGCCUCACGCCGUCCAAGACAGGGGAGCCAGUGUGGAGUUCAGUGAGAUGGAGACCAAUUUCCUGCAGACAUGGAGGCAAAGCACAAGCUCCUCUUCUUCCACACAUCCUGCAACGCCAGUGGAAGAUACUACCAGGGAGACGGGCAGGAAUGAUGGCGUGGCAGGAAACCAGAUUAACCCAGAUCGCUGCACUCUGCCAGCAAGGGUGGAUCUGACAUCGCCACCUCCAGGAACCGCAAUAACAGAGAAGACACUCACAGCGACACUCCACCUAUAUAGGAGUGAGUUGAGAAAGCCCCUUACCAGUUUGAGUGGCACCAAAGGGACUGAAGAGAAGCUGGAGCUGCACAUGGAGAGGAAGGUUAUCUUGGGAGAAGGCUCCUGCCUGGGGCCAGGGGCACAGGCAGGUGAGGGCAGGGCAGAUCUUCCCAGGACCCAAUGCCACCAGGUUGCCCCAGAGGCACCAGGCUCUGAGCAGCUAACAAGAUCCACCCUUGACUCUCUCAUUGCUGGGCAGGCUGCACAUGACCUGCUGAUCAAGCACCUGAGGGAAAUGUUGAGCAGCUCCUGCCCCUGGGUCUCAGUCUGCCGCAAGGCACAUCCAGGAAAGAUGAAGGGUAAGAAAACUCAGAAGGAGACAUCUGCUGAGCUGCAUGGUCUUCGAGACAUCAUGGAUUCACAUGGGUUUGAUGGAACUGUGAAUUCAAAGCUCUCCAGGGACCAGCCGCCAAUCAAAAUCUGCAAGAAGUGCGGUAAGCUUUGACGGAAGAGACCAGCUGGCUCUGCAGGUGCUGACUUGCCCAGAGGAUCCCAUGGAAUUCCACAGCGAUGGACUCCAGGAGACUCCUCAGCAUCAUCCAACCACAACAAGAUGCCAGUGGUGUGGCUCCUUCCAGCAGACAAGAGCAAGACGCAGGAUGGAAUGGGGAAAAAGGCUCCCACCAAGCAACCAAAGAUGGUGUCCAUUGCUACGAGUACAACAGGGCUUUCGCAAGCUGGGGAGAAAGCAAUUGGGAGUCCUGACGGUUCUCCCCCAAAGUCAACAAAGACCUCCAGAGCUAGGACACCAUCCCCUUCAAGGAGCAAAGUUCUCAAACAGAUGUUAAUGUGCCUCAAGCAAACCUUCAGCAAGCUUCAAAACAAAGUGAAGUCCCGAAUGUCCAAGGACUCUCGUUCAGGAACACCUGACACUAAAUUUACAAAGCCACCCUUUUGGAAGGCAAGGGCCUCCAAGGGUGUCCGGUGUCCAUACUACUGAAUCCCACCCUGCCAGCAUGCCCACUAACAGAAGGGGCCCACAAAUUCCAACAUCUUCCUAUCAUCCAGCGGGUCUGAGGAGUGUACCCCAAAGCUUUUAGAAGUCUUUAAGAACAUGUAUUCACAUGAAUGAUCUUUGACUGAGCAUUCUCCUGAAUCACCUGUGGAGUGCAGAGUAUAAUAACGCUUCAACCGCUACUUACUGGGCUUUCCAUGAGAUAUGGAAUCAAGUUCAAGGUAUGAGUCCUUAAGUUGAAGGCACUCAAUGGCCCAAGCCCAGGAUUAUCCAAAAGACCACCUGGGAUGAAGACUGUGGUCAACAACUCCACUCCUCUCUAUAACAAUGGUAAAGGCUGGACCAAGACUGUGGAACAAACUCUCAAAGGAAUUAAGGACCAUCACAAAUGUUACCACCUCCUACAAUUUCAAGAUGCAGAGAUGGUGGAGUGCUGGGCUGGAGGAACGAGGGCACAAGAGAUAUAACAGGCAGGCAGGAGAAAAGAAGUCAGUUCCUUGUGUGUAUGCUGUGGAGGUGAAGAGAUAAUCCAGCUUUCACUGCCGUCCCACAAUUCCCAACAGUGGCUGCUCUGGUCAAUUGUUAACAAUUGUUAAUGCCACUUUCCUGGGAUCAGGUAGACAUGAAGCCCCCAGUACCCUCCCUUUAUUGUCCAGUUGAGCAAGCAUGCCUAGCAGAUCUCCAUUGUUGCAUGCAACUGCCCCAUUGACCAGGCUGGCGACAUGCUCCAGAUGUGCUCCUGCCUGGAGUAGACAGGAAAUAGUGGAUCUUCUGGGCCUGUGAGGAGAAGAGGCUGUGCAAGCACGCUAUGGACCAGUCAUCAACAUCUAUGCGCAGAUUUGUUGGGGGAUGCAGGAGGGAUAUGAUAGGGAUCACUAGCAGUGCCAUACCAGAAGGCCAGGGAGGUCAACAAUUGAUCAGGUGCCGAGCUGCAUAUUUGCUCCUUUUAUAAAGAGCUGUAUGCCCUACUUGGUGGAGACCCCACCAUGACUCCACACACCAUUGUGGAUAUCUUCCUAAACCUUUUUUCCAGAUCAUUUUUGACUAUGUUUAACAGCACUGGCCCCAGUCCAGAUGGUUGGGGGACCACCUACCCCUCACCAUUUACCU